rnacentral:rRNA from 1 species
AUUGGGCGUAAGCGCGCGCAGGUGGUUUCUUAAGUCUGAUGUGAAAGCCCACGGCUCUACCGUGGAGGGUCAUUGGAAACUGGGAGACUUGAGUGCAGAAGAGGAAAGUGGAACUCCAUGUGUAGAGGAGAUGCGUAAAGAUAUGGAGCAACACCAGUGGCGGAGGCUACUUUCUGGUCUGUAGCUGACACUGAGGCGCGAAAGCGUGGGGAGCAA